rnacentral:rRNA from 5 species
ACCUUCGGGCCUCUUGCCAUCAGAUGUGCCCAGAUGGGAUUAGCUUGUUGGUGAGGUAACGGCUCACCAAGGCGACGAUCCCUAGCUGGUCUGAGAGGAUGACCAGCCACACUGGAACUGAGACACGGUCCAGACUCCUACGGGAGGCAGCAGUGGGGAAUAUUGCACAAUGGGCGCAAGCCUGAUGCAGCCAUGCCGCGUGUAUGAAGAAGGCCUUCGGGUUGUAAAGUACUU